rnacentral:rRNA from 1 species
CCUACGGGUGGCAGCAGUGAGGAAUAUUGGUCAAUGGGCGCGAGCCUGAACCAGCCAAGUCGCGUGAAGGAUGACUGCCCUACGGGUUGUAAACUUCUUUUAUAAAGGAAUAAAGUUAUCCACGUGUGCCUUUUUGUAUGUACUUUAUGAAUAAGCAUCGGCUAACUCCGUGCCAGCAGCCGCGGUAAUACGGAGGAUCCGAGCGUUAUCCGGAUUUAUUGGGUUUAAAGGGAGCGUAGAUGGGUUUUUAAGUCAGUUGUGAAAGUUUGCGGCUCAACCGUAAAAUUGCAAUUGAUACUGGCAGUCUAGAGUACAGGUGAGGUAGGCGGAAUUCGGGGUGUAGCUGUGAAACGCUGAGAUAUCACGAAGAACUCAGAGUGAGAAGGCAGCAUACUAAACUGCCACUGACAGUGAUGCUAGAGAGUGUGGGUAUCAAACAGGAUUAGAUACCAUUGUAC